rnacentral:rRNA from 1 species
UGAUGGCGACCGGCGCACGGGUGAGUAACACGUAUCCAACCUGCCGUCUACUCUUGGCCAGCCUUCUGAAAGGAAGAUUAAUCCAGGAUGGCAUCAUGAGUUCACAUGUCCGCAUGAUUAAAGGUAUUUUCCGGUAGACGAUGGGGAUGCGUUCCAUUAGAUAGUAGGCGGGGUAACGGCCCACCUAGUCAACGAUGGAUAGGGGUUCUGAGAGGAAGGUCCCCCACAUUGGAACUGGGACACGGUCCAAACUCCUACGGGAGGCAGCAGUGAGGAAUAUUGGUCAAUGGGCGAUGGCCUGAACCAGCCAAGUAGCGUGAAGGAUGACUGCCCUAUGGGUUGUAAACUUCUUUUAUAAAGGAAUAAAGUCGGGUAUGCAUACCCGUUUGCAUGUACUUUAUGAAUAAGGAUCGGCUAACUCCGUGCCAGCAGCCGCGGUAAUACGGAGGAUCCGAGCGUUAUCCGGA